AGUGGGUUGGUAGGAAUAAAAGUGGAUAUAAAAGGAGAAAAGUGGGUAGGUAGGAAUAAAAGUGGAUAAAUAAGAAGAAAAGUGGGUAGGUAGGAAUAAAAGUGGAUAUAUAAGAAGAAAAGUGGGUAGGUAGGAAUAAAAGUGGAUAUAUAAGGAGAAAAGUGGGUUGGUAGGAAUAAAAGUGGAUAUAAAAGGAGAAAAGUGGGUAGGUAGGAAUAAAAGUGGAUAUAUAAGGAGAAAAGUGGGUAGGUAGGAAUAAAAGUGGAUAAAUAAGAAGAAAAGUGGAUUUGUAGGAAGAAAAGUGGAUACGAUUAAAGGAAACUGCGGGUAAAGAUGAGAAAUUGAAAAUGGAAAACAAGAACUGGAAGAAAGAAAGAAAAAGGAGAAGAAAGUAAUGAAAGGAAGAAAGGAAAUAUGGAAAAGGAGGAAGAAGGGGAAAACUAGAAGAGAAGGAAGAUUAUAAAAAGGAAACAAGGAAGGAAGAGAAAAAGGAAACCAUGGGAAAGAAGAAGGAAGAGGAGGAGGAGGAG